rnacentral:rRNA from 1 species
GACGAACGCUGGCGGCGCGCCUAACACAUGCAAGUCGAACGGAGCUGAGAGAAGCUUGCUUUUCUUAGCUUAGUGGCGCACGGGUGAGUAACGCGUGAGUAACCUGCCCUGGAGUGGGGGACAACAGUUGGAAACGACUGCUAAUACCGCACAAGCCCACGAUCCGGCAUCGGAUUGAGGGAAAAGGAUUUAUUCGCUUCAGGAUGGACUCGCGUCCAAUUAGCUAGUUGGUAAGGUAACGGCCCACCAAGGCGACGAUUGGUAGCCGGACUGAGAGGUUGAACGGCCACAUUGGGACUGAGACACGGCCCAGACUCCUACGGGAGGCAGCAGUGGGGGAUAUUGCACAAUGGGGGAAACCCUGAUGCAGCGACGCCGCGUGGAGGAAGAAGGUUUUCGGAUUGUAAACUCCUGUCGUGAGGGACGAUAAUGACGGUACCUAACAAGAAAGCACCGGCUAACUACGUG